CGACAACAGGCUUUUUGCCAGACUUCAAACUUACGUCUAGCCUACUACUUCAAGAUCACAACUUGAGGAACUUAGAACAAUUCAGAGUUGUGAAAUCAAUGCUGCAUUGUGUCAUGCAUAUCAGUAAUACAGCCCACACCCUGCAAGUUGACGUCUUUCAUAACCAAACCUGAUCAAGCGAGACACUUUGUUUACUUUAAGUCUUCUGUGGUCUCAUUCAUUUCAAAAAGUAUUAGAUUUCUACUUGAACUUUGUCGUAAGAUUUGACGGUGUGCUUACAUUCGAUGCAUAAACUACCUUGCUUACGCAGGUUCUAAUAAGCCAUUUAUCAUUUACGCACCUGUGAUCUAUAAAUCUCAAAUUGACUUAGAAUUGAUGGCACCUGAACGUGCCUUACAAUCAGCGAUUUCCCCUAAAAGAAUGCUAGCACAAAUUAGUCUUUAGUCAGGAAUAGCCGCUGCAGUGAACGAGGUGGGGCAGCAAGACAGAACUGUGGCUGAUGUGAAAGAAAUGGUCUGACCUUAAACUGCAAGGGGGGAAACAUAGCCAUACAUAACCGCAGCAUUAAGGCAACGGGAGGGGGGCCUGGCACGCCGGAGCUCUCCCAAAUGGACCAGUGCAUCGGGGCAAUCAGUGGUUAAAGCGCAUACACUGGCACAUACCCCGAUGGCGACAGUAAAUGUUUUUUUUUUUUUAAGGUGUUUCUUCUAUUUGAGCUCUUCUGCUUUAUUUUUCAUAUGGUUUAAUCCCAAUUUUUACAUCGGAAACGGUGAAGUCGGCACGCGAAUCCCCUAGGACUGCAUCUGUAAAGUCUGCUUCCAACUCUCAAACAUGUAGAUCCCCAGAACGCAGCUCACUUUCCAGAUCACCUGAAUUCUGAUCACCUGUUCACACACCUGUAUGUCAUUAUCACACACUAUUUAGUUCAGUUCUUUGCACCCCAUCAUUGUGCGGUAUUAUUUGUUUUGUGACACUUCUAUUCGGAGCUCUGUUUUCCCCGGUAAUCUAAAGCCUCCCGAGUAUGAUAGUGAAGCAGGCAAAAACUAGCGACGCAUUUUGCCUAGUCCCUGCCUGUACUUUCGGAUAUACUGUUAUCAGCCUGUUGCCUGAUCUCCCAGACGAUGUUACUAGCCUUUUCUCUGCUUGUACUGUUUGUUGCCUUUUUGGACCCCCUGUGUAUGGCCUUCUGCCUGCCCCUAGACCCAGCUACCUGCCUCCUCCUGUGGUCCUUUACAAAAACACCUGCUGCGCCCUGCGCUUGAAACCAGCUGUCUCCCAUCGUGUUCAUUACAGCAUCACUGGAUAACGAAAUGGAGGAAGCUGUGUUGCAGCCUGUGCGUCGGUUGAGGGUGGCCCCUCCACCAAGGGAGAAAGUGUGUGAGGCUCCCAAAUCAGCAGGUGCUAAAUGUUUGGCCACAGGUGUGGAGGGUCUGUGUGCCGGUUCCCAAUCCGCGAGGCCCAGGUUCCCAAGCAUCGCAGAUGCCAUGAGUGAGGGAAUGUUUGGCCUACAGGGGUUGAGGGUCUGUCCACGUCUACAGUUUGUGUGUUGACCACCUCAGUCCUGCAAACCCAGAGUGUUGGACGCAUUGGUUGGGCAGAUUGUGACUGAAGUUGGAAGAAUACACAGGGUUUUACUUCAUUUACAUAAUGCAAUUGAUGAAUGUUUUCCACUACGUUAAUAAAAAAAAAACUAUG